AUUGAACGCUGGCGGCAGGCCUAACACAUGCAAGUCGGGCGAUUCUGGUUUCGGCCAGGAGAGCGGCGAACGGGUGAGUAAAACGUAGGAAUCUGCCUGGUAGUGGGGGACAACGUCUCGAAAGGGACGCUAAUACCGCAUACGCCCCACGGGGGAAACCAGGGGCCCUUCGGACCCUGCGGUAGCAGAUGGGGCUGCGUCGGAUUAGCUUGUUGGUAGGGUAAAGGCCUACCAAGGGGACGGUCCGUAACUGGUCUGAGAGGAUGAUCAGUCACACCGGAACUGAGACACGGUCCGGACUCCUACGGGAGGCAGCAGUGGGGAAUAUUGGACAAUGGGGGCAACCCUGAUCCAGCCAUGCCGCGUGUGUGAAGAAGGCCUUCGGGUUGUAAAGCACUUUAGGUCGGGAGGAAGGUUCGCUGGCUAAUAUCCAGCGGAAUUGACGUUACCGACAGAAUAAGCACCGGCUAACUCCGUGCCAGCCGCCGCCGUAACAC
rnacentral:rRNA from 1 species